AUAAAAGAAGAGAUUUGAUAUUUUGCCGUUAGAAAUUUCUUAUUAAGCAUUUCUUUAAUCCUUUUGGAAGGAAAUUCAACAAAUACAUAAACUAACCAACUUCGAGAAUAAUAAACUCUCGUGGAAUAAUCUCAAACUUAACUUUGGUUUAUGGUUUCCAAUCUGCGUGGAAAACCACAAUUUUUAUCAGAAACGGAAGCCCCAUGACGAACCCUCACUGUUUGUGCAGCUUAAACAAUCUCUUGUCUUUCAUUUAUUUCAUUUAUUAAUUCCCUUCCUUAAAGUGAAGAAGUGCAACAAAGAAAUCUACCAGAGAGAUGUUUAAAUUCUUCAAAUCAUCCCAAAGUUCUUCCUCAAAGGACAAAAGUUCAGACACACAGAGGAGAGGCACGAGAUUAAAGUGCGGAUGUAAGUGCAUUGAGGAGUGCAAGUGCAAACAUCACAAAACCAUUAAAUCCCCACUGAGGAUGAACCUCCUAUCAGAAACAUUGAAUUGAGAGUCAACUUAAACAGACAGAUUACCCUGGAUGAUAAAAGACCUGGCUUUAUCGCUUUGUUUUUCAAGCACAAAUUGGAGAAUUUUAUGAUUUUCUUUUUGCAUUAAGAUAACAUAAAUUAAAUAUUUUUUUUUAUAAAAAUAAUGUUGAAUAAAUAAUUUCAGAAAUAAA